UUCUGUGUGUUUUUGUUAUAGUGAUUAGCAGAAACAAAUAGUCCUUAAAUUCCUAGAGAUCAAGACUCUUGAAAACGUAUGGUUGGUUGAUGAAGUAACUUGAAAAAAUAUAUGACUAGCCAGUUAUCUGAUUUGACCAACAUUCAAGAUCUCAUCUUGAAAAAGCUUGUGAGUUAUCAGAAGGAAGACCUGGAAGAUGUAGCUGCUCCCAAACUUCAGAACCUCAUGGUUGAGUGCAAUGACCUGAAAGGAGCUGAACCAAAUGCACCGACCAGCCCAAUAGCCAG